CCUACGGGUGGCAGCAGUGAGGAAUAUUGGUCAAUGGACGAGAGCCUGAACCAGCCAAGUAGCGUGAAGGAUGACUGCCCUAUGGGUUGUAAACUUCUUUUAUAUGGGAAUAAAAUGUUCCACGUGUGGGAUAUUGUAUGUACCAUAUGAAUAAGGAUCGACUAACUCCGUGCCAGCAGCCGCGGUAAGACGGAGGAUCCGAGCGUUAUCCGGAUUUAUUGGGUUUAAAGGGAGCGUAGGUGGAUUGUUAAGUCAGUUGUGAAAGUUUGGGGCUCAACCGUAGAAUUGCAGUUGAAACUGGCAGUCUUGAGUACAGUAGAGGUGGGCGGAAUUCGUGGUGUAGCGGUGAAAUGCUUAGAGAUCACGAAGAACUCCGAUUGCGAAGGCAGUUCACUGGACUGCAACUGACACUGAGGCUCGAAAGUGUGGGUAUCAAACAGGAUUAGAUACCCGUGUAGUC
rnacentral:rRNA from 1 species